rnacentral:ncRNA from 2 species
CGCAGCAAUUACGUGAAUGGUGCCCUCCCGCUUCUCAGCCGGAGGGUGAAACGGGAAGCCGGUGACAUGCGAGAUUUUCAUUUCGCACCAGUCCGGCGCAGCCCCCGCUGCUGUAAGCCUGACGACUCUGAUCAACCGCCACUGCGCAUCGCGCGGGAAGGCAAGAACAGGGAAGGAUGAGGGCGAGCCAGAAGACCGGCCAGUCACGAUGCAUGCGC